CCUUACCUACCCUUGACAUGGUCGGAAUCCCGCUGAGAGGUGGGAGUGCUCGAAAGAGAACCGGCGCACAGGUGCUGCAUGGCUGUCGUCAGCUCGUGUCGUGAGAUGUUGGGUUAAGUCCCGCAACGAGCGCAACCCUUGUCCUUAGUUGCUACGCAAGAGCACUCUAAGGAGACUGCCGGUGACAAACCGGAGGAAGGUGGGGAUGACGUCAAGUCCUCAUGGCCCUUAUGGGUAGGGCUUCACACGUCAUACAAUGGUCGGAACAGAGGGUUGCCAACCCGCGAGGGGGAGCUAAUCCCAGAAACCCGAUCGUAGUCCGGAUUGCACUCUGCAACUCGAGUGCAUGAAGCUGGAAUCGCUAGUAAUCGCGGAUCAG
rnacentral:rRNA from 1 species